rnacentral:misc_RNA from 1 species
GAAAUGCGAUACUUGGUGUGAAUUGCAGAAUUCAGUGAAUCAUCGAAUCUUUGAACGCACAUUGCGCCCGCCAGUAUUCUGGCGGGCAUGCCUGCCCGAGCGUCAUUACAACCAAGAGUUUGACCUCGGAUCAGAUGGGGACACCCGCUGAACUUAA